rnacentral:sRNA from 2 species
CGAGUUCAUGCGAACAUUCUUCAACAGGGCAAGGCUGCAGCUCUACCGGACGCGGGACAUGGGCUGGGGCGUGCGGUCCCUGCAGGACAUCCCACUAGGC